GGCCACCAGCAGUGACACCAUGUGACCGGCACGGCUCACUGACACGCAGCUUUGGUUAAAGAGCGGGCGCACAGGAGGGGAGGAGACCGCGCGCGGGACGGGGAGGAAUGGCCUGUCCGCGUUAAACCAUCACAAGCCAUGGUUGCGGAAGGGCCACGCGUCCCCCAGUAGGAGAAUGACUCCGAUUCGUGACCCUCAGCGCCGGUGCAUGUCGAUAUAUUUAUUGAGUGUCUACUGUGUGCCAGGCACUAUAUCUAUGUGCAUAGAAAAACCCUGGAAGGCCAUACAACAAUAUAUAUAGAGUGAUCGUCUCUGCUUGCUGAGCUAACAGGUG
rnacentral:lncRNA from 1 species